rnacentral:rRNA from 1 species
GUCUUUUUGAGUUUAAUUUAAAGUCUAAUCUGCCCACUGAUAAAUUAUUUAAGGGCCGCAGUAUUCUGACUGUGCAAAGGUAGCAUAAUCAUUAGUCUUUUAAUUGAGGGCUUGUAUGAAUGAUUGGACGAGAUAUAAGCUGUCUCACAAAAAUUUAAAUAGAAUUUUAUUUUUUAGUCAAAAAGCUAAAAUAAAUUUAAAAGACGAGAAGACCCUAUAGAUCUUUAUAAUUUAUUUUUAAAUUUUUUAAGGUUAUUUUUUGAAUUUAUAAAUUAAAUUAUUUUGUUGGGGUGACAAUGAAACUUAAUAAACUUUCAUUAUUUUGAAACAUUAAUUUAUGAUUAAUUGAUCCACUAUUAGUGAUUAAAAAUUUAAGUUACCUUAGGGAUAACAGCGUAAUUAUUUUGGAGAGUUCUUAUCGAUAAAAUAGUUUGCGACCUCGAUGUUGGAUUAAGAUUAAUUCUGGGUGUAGCAGUUCAGUUUAUUAAGUCUGUUCGACUUUUAAUUUCUU